rnacentral:rRNA from 1 species
ACGCUAGCGGCAGGCUUAACACAUGCAAGUCGAGGGGUAACAGGGAUUGCUUGCAAUCCGCUGACGACCGGCGCACGGGUGCGUAACGCGUAUGCAACCUACCUUCUACAGGGGGAUAGUCAAUAGAAAUGUUGAAUAAUACCCCAUACGAUCAUUUAUCUGCAUAGAUAAAUGAAGAAAGCUCCGGCGGUAGAAGAUGGGCAUGCGUCCUAUUAGUUAGUUGGUAAGGUAACGGCUUACCAAGACAUCGAUAGGUAGGGGUCCUGAGAGGGAGAUCCCCCACACUGGUACUGAGACACGGACCAGACUCCUACGGGAGGCAGCAGUGAGGAAUAUUGGACAAUGGAGGCAACUCUGAUCCAGCCAUGCCGCGUGCAGGAAGACGGCCCUAUGGGUUGUAAACUGCUUUUAUACAGGAAGAAUUGUACCUACGUGUAGGUAUUUGACGGUACUGUACGAAUAAGGAUCGGCUAACUCCGUGCCAGCAGCCGCGGUAAUACGGAGGAUCCAAGCGUUAUCCGGAAUCAUUGGGUUUAAAGGGUCCGUAGGCGGUCUAAUAAGUCAGAGGUGAAAUCCUGCAGCUCAACUGUAGCAUUGCCUUUGAUACUGUUAGACCUGAGUUAUUGUGAAGUAGUUAGAAUGUGUAGUGUAGCGGUGAAAUGCAUAGAUAUUACACAGAAUACCGAUUGCGAAGGCAGAUUACUAACAAUAUACUGACGCUGAGGGACGAAAGCGUGGGUAGCGAACAGGAUUAGAUACCCUGGUAGUCCACGCCGUAAACGAUGGAUACUAGCUGUUCGAUC